UCCGGCUUAUCACCGGCGGUUUCUUUAGAGUGCCCAACUAAAUGAUGGCAACUAAAGACGAGGGUUGCGCUCGUUGCGGGACUUAACCCAACAUCUCACGACACGAGCUGACGACAGCCAUGCAGCACCUGUCUCCGGUCCAGCCGAACUGAAGAACUCCAUCUCUGGAGUCCGCGACCGGGAUGUCAAGGGCUGGUAAGGUUCUGCGCGUUGCGUCGAAUUAAACCACAUGCUCCACCGCUUGUGCGGGCCCCCGUCAAUUCCUUUGAGUUUCACCCUUGCGAGCGUACUCCCCAGGUGGAAUACUUAUCAGGUUACCAACGGCACUGAUCAAAAAUGACCAACACCAGGUAUUCAUCGUUUAGGGCGUGGACUAC
rnacentral:misc_RNA from 1 species